AAAAAACAUAAAUUCACUAAUAAUAUUAAAUCUUCAAGUAUUAAAAAUAAUCACAUGAGAGAUAGAACCUCAUUUAUGUAGAUCAGACAUGAAAUUUAUUGUUAUAGCCAAUAGAAUUCGCUAAUCUUUUAAUAAAUAAAAUAAGAGUUGCCUAAAUUUUUUGAAAAAUAAUGCUAAAGCAGAUGUAUUGGAUCUUCCUAUUUGAAGAUGAUAUUGACAAAAGAUAUAAAUCUUUCGAGCAACAACUGGAGUAUAAAAUAAUCUAUUUGGAUCUUUUAUGCCUAGACUAUUUUUCUAGGAACUUAUUGCAUACUAUGUACAUAGAUAAUUAAUUCAAGCCACUAUUCGUCAAUUGAGGAAUUAAGAAAUAGGCUACACUACCAUGCUUCAUUAGUAGA
rnacentral:misc_RNA from 1 species